rnacentral:sRNA from 1 species
AGGCAAUAACACUUAUCUUAAACAUGGUCUGGUUAGCCUGUGUAGCCGUUGUGCCAAUUGUUAUCAAGGCAUAUAUUGCCUACAAGCGGCUGCAUUAAAAAGACCGAAAGAAGAUUACAUGGAGUCUAAAUAAAUACUUUGGGGAAACAAGUUCUAAAACAAAACACUUGCUUCUUCCAUUUUUUGUCUCAACCUAAAGAAAAUCGCAAAGGAGAUGUGAAAAUACAAGCUUCUUUUGACAAAAUCAGACUUAAUUCCUUUACAAUUAUGUGUUUUCAACUUUAGGAUAAUAAAUGUAAUUUUGUUUAGAAUGUGUUGAACUAAAAUAUAAAGUAGGGUAUAUCAAUUCAACCAAAAAGUAUAUCAAAUAUGAAACUUUGAACCACUGUUUCUCUGAAUGAUCAACCUAGCAUUCAUUUGGAAAUUAUUGGGGAAUGCAUGUUCAUGUAAUUUACCUAUUAUGCAAAUUAUAAAACUAAAUCUGUACUUACUAUUUUUGUUAAUUUUUCAUAUUUUUUUUCAUUGUGUCGAGGUUGCUGAACUUUUGCGGACAUUUUGAUUUACCCAACUGUGUUCAUUUAAAGUAUUUAUGUAAUAAAACAUUAAAAAUAAAAAUUUUAACACAAAA